rnacentral:rRNA from 1 species
UACGGGGGGAGCAAGCGUUGUUCGGAUUUACUGGGCGUAAAGGGCGCGUAGGCGGUCGUGACAAGUCACUUGUGAAAUCUCCGGGCUUAACUCGGAACGGUCAAGUGAUACUGUCGGACUAGAGUACAGAAGGGGCAACUGGAAUUCUCGGUGUAGCGGUGAAAUGCGUAGAUAUCGAGAGGAACACCUGCGGCGAAGGCGGGUUGCUGGGACGUAACUGACGCUGAGACGCGAAAGCGUGGGGAGCAAACAGG